AAACUGUUUCUCUAAGUCAGUAAAACACACUGAUGUGAAUCUCAUCUAAAUUCAAUAUUUUUGCUUUCAGAGUGCUGUAUUUUCCUGGAAAAUUAUGGUGCAUCACAAGCUAUUAGUUUUUGUUCUGUCUGUGUGCAGUGAAUAAACCAGCAUAGGCUAUGUUUACUUCAGCAAGUCACUCAGAGCAGCAGGAGUAGACUGAUAGCUGUAAACAGCAGGAGCUGAGGUUCCUCACAUCUCCAGUAUAUCCUCACACAGAAAUUACUUUGCAUCAGGCCAUUGGACCCAUUAAAGAAGACGAUGUUUGCUCCUUCACUUCUUGCAUUGUAGAUACAAGCAAAAAGACUAUCCACCUUGAUCCUGAAACUGUUAUUCUACCCCACUAGGAACUUCAGGAAUGAACUUACUAACUUUAGUGGGGCAAGAACCUAAAGAAUCUGUUAAGGAAAGCAGGAAUCACUGAAGCAAAGAAGGAUCCACAUCAGGCAUUCUGUCCUUUGACAACAAGAAAAUACCAGCAUCUCUUUUGCAAUGUGGAAUUUCUGCUGUACCAGUACAAGACUUCAGAGAGAAAAUAUCUGGCAAAAGGAAAAGUGAAAAGCCUUGUCUCAAAGCUUCCAUUUUAUAUAUUACACAAUUUAACUUCUCUGACCAAGGAAGGUGGUGACUGCCAACUCUUCUUCCCUGAGAGCCAGAAGGAAUAGCAGAGCAUAGAGGUAGUCAGUACACAUUUUAAUGUACUGCUGUCUCAUGCACUCUGGACCAUCAAGAGAAAAACUGUGUGUUACUUGUAAGGCUUCCACUCUAGUGAAUCUCAUCUGUUUGGCUCUCCUCCUAAUAAUACCAACCAGCACCCCGCAAACAUGUUCAUACUGUAUUAGAAUAUAACAAUUUUGUAAAUGUGGAAAAGAGACACAUUUUUUGAAGUCAAUGACUGCAGCUAGCAAAAGCCACCUCAUACACUGCAGACCACUUGUGCAAGUCAAGGCCUUUUCAUCAGAGAAUACCUUUAUUUCAUGAACUGAUAUGAAGCUGAAUUUUUUUUUCCACCUUGCAUGUCCUCAGUCACUGGCAUUUUUCAUGUGACAAAGCAAAUGCUAAUUCUCUAUGGGCUGUAAGGGAAAACAGCUGCUAGUUAUAAUGGGGGUUUUGAGAGCACUUGGUCAACCAAACUGCAUAGGUUUAAGUACCUCCAGACUGUAUUACAUCUGUCAAAGCAGCAGCAAAUACAACAUAAAAUGUAGAGUAGGUCCCAUUUUUAGUGUGUCAGUAGAAUCAGCCUGCAGUUAUUUUUAACUGCCUUGGAAAGCUUAGCAGGCAGAUACAGUUAAUCCUUUAAAGGAUUUGCAGGUAUUCAUAGCUUAAUAAGUAAGCAUAGUGGAUUAAACCAAUAGAAGAUUGUAGACAGUCAAAGACAACCAUUACAUGCUAACAUUCAAAAAAUAAAAAGAACAGUUUCUUUUGUAUACUUUUUUUCCUGACAAUUGCUCUCAAUUGUCAGUAUGGGCCAGAAUCCCAUACAGUGAUGAAAUAAAAACGUUAAUUAGAGUCAUUAAAGUCAACAUGUGUGAUAUUUAAAUCAUCAG